GUUAACUAUUAAAUUACUUUUGGCAAUAGGCUACUAUCAAAUUCUGAAAUUAGUUUUUAUUUACCGGAAAUAAAGGCUAUUUCAAAAGGAAAACGUUUAGGUCCGAGGAGAAGUCAGAACAGCAGUUGAGCAGCCGCGAGCCGCACGAGAAGAAGCAAAGAGCCGCAUGUGGCUCGCGAGCCGCGGGUUGGCCACCGCUGGUAUAGUGUAUAGGUGUAAUUGAGUGCCUGUCACUUUAAGACGAUGUUUGGGAACCCUUGCCAUUUUAAAACAGUUAAAAGGCUGGUGUGUGCACCAUGCAGGAUAAUGUUUUCUGCGUAGUUACACUGUAGUUAAAAUAAAGGUUCACUCUAAAAAAUGCUGGGUUAUUUUUCUCAACCCAAGCAUUGUGUUUAGGCUGUUGGGUCAUUUUGUGGGGUUGUUUUUACUCACGUUGGUUGAUUUUCAGUUUAGAACAGUGGCCCCCACUACAUACCCAGCACCAGGGUGACUUUUAGGGCACUUUUACACCUGGCUAUUUGAAUCGGAAUGGGGAGCAUAUCGCCCAAAGAUCUGUUCAAUUGGGUAUGUGAAAGCAGCGAUCGCACUCUGUUUCGGAACAAAAUAAAUGGUCCGAGACGCCUAGAGGAGGUGGUCUCGACUCAUUUCCAAUCGAACCCGAUUGGAAGCGGUUCAUUUGCAGUGAGAAAGCAAUUGGGCCGGUGUAGCGGAACAACUCUCCCGUGCUUGCAUUUUUGUCCACAUUAUAUAACAAGUUUUUUUUUCUUAUUGUAAUUUGUUGCCUUUGUAUGCUCAAAUAAACCACCAUGAUACAUUUUGAAGCUUUUUCAAAGCCAUGCCCAAAAGCUCACCAGAGAAAUUGAAUGCAUUUAGAAUAAAAGCAGCAUAAACAGUUUGCUGACAGCUAUUUGGUAGGCUAGUAGCCUACUAACCUGUGGCUAUAAAUGUGUUAAAACCAUAUAAUAAUAAUAAUAAUGAUAAUAAUAAUAAUAAUAAUAAUAAUAAUAAUAAUAAUAAUGUGCUGAACUGGGGCCUGUUGCACAAAAGCAGAAUUAAGAUAUCCGGGAUAAGUUACUGAGCUGCGCUCAAUGAAUCCAAAACAAGAGCAUACCGGCUUAAUUGGUUGCACAAAGACCAAUUCAGGAUGAGCAGACACAGAUUCAUCAAGCCAGGUGUAAGUUAUCCGGUAUGUGUGCGCGUUCUCGUUUCUCUCCCAAAUAACUCACGGUUGGAAUAAAAAAGACGCGAAAAAUAGCGUCUUGCACACAAAGUGAACAACCGCUUUUGAUAUAGACUAACAACGAGGUAAAGUUUUACUUUUUUGGAUGGGGGAUCAUGGUUAUUUCUGUUACAUAGCGGGAGUAGGUGUGGCAGAUCAACUGAAUGCAAAUUUACGUAUGCACCCACGUGUGAGAGCUUCCUUGUCUCGGCACGCAACGUCAUUAAGGAAGCGCUUUGCCACCGCAAAGAUGCACAAAGUAUCUUAAUUUGUCUUAAAAGCCGAAUUAGUUGAAAACACCUUCGAAAAAUGUCCCCUCCACUUCCAAUCAACUACUACAGCAGCCUAUUCAUCAAACUGUCAAAAAAGAAGCAAACAACGAGUAGGCUAUGUUAUUAAUUAUAAGGCCACCAUAAUUUAAAUUACAUCCAUAUGGUAUUAGGCAGACAUUCUGCUGUGUUUUGCGAGUGAAUGCAUGUAGCAAAUAAUAUAUAAAUGGAAUCUACAGCUCUUUAAAAAAAAUCACGUGGAGGUCUCAUUUAAAUGACAGCUAGCUGAACCAAUCAGAUAAUGUAAUUACCAUUAGAAUCACCUUAUCUUGGCUGUUAGCCUGGUCAGGAGCAGGCUAGCUCCACAGAAUAAAUCGCCAUGGUAACUUAUACCAUAACAUAUCCUGCUGCCCCCUAUCCCGCUUUUGUGCAACUGGAUCACAGAUAACUUGAGCCAGGAUAACCAAGAUAUCCCGGGUUAAUCCCUUAUCCUAGUUUUGUGCAAUAGGCCCCUGGGCAAAUUGUGGCAUAACGUAAACAGCCAAAGUGCAGCCAAAGAGUGUAACAGCUAGCACUAGCCUACCUGUAAUUAACUAAACUUUCGCUAUAGCUACCAAGGUGGCAAACCUGGAGCUCCGGAGAGGUUAGACACUUAAUUGACAUCUGGGCCAAUGAGGUGAUAUCCUCUAUGUUGGAUAACACUCGCAAAAAUAGUGUUGUCUUUAAAGUCUUUAGCGAUGGCCUACGAGACUGUGGCUUCAACCGCUCUGUGGACCAGUGCAGGGCUAAGGUUAAAAAACGUAGGCAGCUUUAUGUGAAGACGCCAGUUGUUCAGCCCGUGGAUGUCGUAGAGUCCACCGGAGGGGAUGACAGCCUGGUAACCAACGCCAUUUACACCACCAGCGACGAAAAGACUGAUCCUGAGUCAGUCAACAAUGUAGCUGCACCAAGGCCUUCCAGUACUGAGGAACAGGCUGAACAAAGACAAUUUAUGAGAGACAUGAUGGAAGCAGACAGAGUUCAUCAGGCAGAGGAGACCUGAUUCCUGAGACCUGGUUCUUGAAAACCUGAUAGAGGCUGAGUAGAGGCGCUUUUUGGCCAAGCCCAACAACAGGCUACAAACAUGUUUAUGCAACUCAUGAGCGGUCUCAUUGGAGCUUUACAGCCACAACCCCAGUACCCCUUUCCCAUGCCGACUCCACCGGCCCUGGCACCAAGGCCUACUCUGUCCUCUACCCAACCCGGUGAUGACAGAGGAGGAAUUUCUUCCAUCUUACAUAAUAUAAGAGAACAGCAGUUCUUUUGAAAUGGAUUUUUUAUUUUAAUGUAUUUUUUUUUAAUUGUUUGUGAAGAAUGCAAUAAUAGUAAUAAUAGUAAUAAUAUAACAACAACAACAACAAUAAAUUACAAUAUUAUAUCACAA